AUUCCUAAAUUCUGUGAAGGAGGCACUGGCAGCUUAGUAUUGCGGGCGGGGGGGGGGGAGAAAGGGAGGAAGUUUCUUCCAGUUGUGAUUAUGCGCAGAGUUUCCUUGUACUGAGCUUAGUUUUCUCCACCCACUACUUAGUGAGAACUCUUUAACUAGAAGACUAACAACUUAAAGCUUUAUCCCUGUGAGUACCAGAAAAGUGAUCUGAGUAUUUAUUAAACAGAGAGAACAAACUGCCUACUUCAGGCAGGGAGGAAGCGUAUGGAAAUUAUAUUAGAACUUCAGCAAAGUGCAGAGCUGCAUAAUACAGAAGCUGGGACUCAAAUUGACAGGCUAAUAAGCCAGCUCACUGAAGGGGGCUCUGUGUGGCAGCUCUGAGUUACUAAGUGUUGGACAACUAUAGGCAAAAUGUGAAAUGGAACAGGGCAGAAAAUAACACACUAACUUCAGGCAACUGUUGCUUUCUCCUGGUCUUCAGGGAUUUUACAUUCUGUAGCUGGCAAAACAAGUCCCCAUUUAAAUAUUAAGCUUACUACAUUAAUGACUGUGAAGUACUUGUUCCUUGGAACUGCACCUGUUCAGCAUGACACCUUGCUUUGCUGGUGAUGUCACAUGCAGCACUGACUAUAAUUGGAGAAUGGAACCUCUUUGUGGGUGCAAGAUCUCCAAUGUCCCCCUACAGUCUGCAGUCGCACGGCUGGUGGUGUGGCACAGACAGAGCAAGGGUUACAUCAAGGCUGUUCUCUGGACCGUGCAAACAGUCUAGACCAAUGACCUGCAGCAUCAUGCCCUUUGAAGAAGAGGCAAGUUCGGUCACGAUGAAGAAAAAUCAAGGCGUACCCCUUUUAACAAUAGGGAGCAGCUCGUGGCUGCAAAGAGGUAAGCAGGGGUAAGCGAAAAAGGCAUCUGCUUCCAUGGUUACAGGCCAACUAUGAGAACCUUGCUUUUCAAGAGAGACUGUUCUCAUGCUCCCUCACAGGCUAUGUCAUGCAUUAUAAGUAAAGGAGGGUUGAGCUGAAAUCCACAUAGUUAUUUCAGAGUAAAAUGAUACGCGAGCACAUGGCUGUUA
rnacentral:lncRNA from 1 species